AUCCAACCGACGAGUCCCAGACAGGACGAAAUGCGCAUCCUGGCUGGAU
rfam:Trichobilharzia regenti genome assembly, scaffold: TRE_scaffold0012921